rnacentral:lncRNA from 1 species
UAUGCAUCCGGUUAACCGACUUGAAAUAGUUAUAACUGAAUUAACCGACCUUCCAAAAUUUUUAACCGUUAAUCGAAUUGAAUUUUUAAAAAAAAUAUUAACCGAAUCGAAAUUUUUUCGAUUAAUUAGGUCAGUUAAUCGAUUAACCGAAAAUUGUAUGGUUUUUAUUUUUGGUUAAAAAUUAACCGAAUUAACUGAAGCACCCGAAUUACCAGAAUUAAAUCACUACAUAAUUAAAAACAUUACAUAAGUCUUUGAAUCACUACAUAAUUAAAAACAUUACAUAAUUCUUGAAAUUAACACACAAUUGAAAUGUAAGUCUUUAAUAUUCUCCAUUUAUAUUCAUUUCUUCUCUCCAAGAAAUCUCCAUUUGCAUUAAACCUAAAAAAAAAAACAUAUAUAAUUGGGUAGAUACUUAGAAUUAGACUUUAGUUUUAUUUUUAUUGGGUUGGUAAUUGGGUAGACUUUAGUUUUAGUUUUAUUGGGUUGGGUAAUUGGGUAGACUUUAGUUUUAGUUUUAUUGGGUUGGGUUGGAUAAUUUUAUUUAUUAAUUUUUUCAGUUAAUCGAAAAAAUUCGGUUAACCGACCGGUUUCGAACCGAAUUAACCGUUAACCAAAAAAUCAUAAAAAAUUAACCGACCCUCGACCGAAAAAAUUCGGCUAACCGACCGAUUAACCGAAUUCAGUUGGUUAACCGAAUUUUUUCGGUUUUACCCGAAUUAUGCACACCCCUAUACAUGAUGGUUUUGAACAGGCUUUGGAAGCUUGAUUGUCAAGAUGUGUUGUUAGAAUCAGAUUAUUUGGAAGCGUUGCACCAUAUAAAGGAGAACCUGAUAAUUAAUCAACCGGAAUCACAUGUCAUAAAUGCGAUUCGAGAUUUGUUAAGGUGUGUUUGGAGUGUCAGUUUAAUUCAUGUGUUUCGUAAAUGUAAUGGGUUGGUUGAUUGUUUAGCAAAUGAUACAGAAGGAAUAGACAUCAACUUUCACCUUUGAUCUCAACCCAUUGAUUUUACUCUAAAUGUGCUGCAUGGAAAUCUUACCAGUUUAUCUGUUUUUAGAUUAAUUAUCACGUAAUAGUUUAGAAUGCUUUUUUUUUUAACAAAGAAGAAGAAGAAGAAGAAGAAGAUCCACAUAACACAAUUAAGUAAUGUACGAAGCAAUAUUAUCUAAAUUUAAAUUCUAAAAUUGAUAAUAGUAAACGCCCAACUUUGUAUAAAAUAUGUAUUAUAAAGUAAUUAUAUAGGGUAUAUGGGUAAAAAUACGAGGUAUUUGUAUUAAGAGUUUGAUUGCAUUUUGUCUAUUUUACUUAAAAGAUGUGAAAUUAGUUUUUAUACAUUAAAUUAAAGAGUAAACUUAUUAUUUUUGUUAAAAAUUUUAUUCAUUUGUACUAUUAAAAACUGACAUAGUUGACGGAAUAACUAGACAAUACCAUAUGAUGCACCAAUUUUUAACAAUAAAAAUAAAUAAAUUUUCAACGGAAAGACCAAUUUACUUAUUUUUUAAAUAAAGAAAUAAAAUAUAAUUUAACUUUUAAUACAAAUAGCCUCUAUAAAACUUUUACCAGGUAUAAGCUGAUUUGCUUUUUAUUUGAUUCUUGUACACAUUGUUGUUUGUAGCAAACUUUUACUUCUUUUGGAUAAUAAAAUACACAUUUAUCCAAAAUAAAUAAAAAAUAUUAAUUAAAGUAUAUAAGUUUGGUCAGUAUUCAGUAACCAUAGAUUAGCAAUUGAAUAUUAUAUUUGAUAACUAUAAUAAUAUAAUAAUCACCAAUUUUCUUUUUGUUUGCUUACUGGGAAAACAGAUAAGAAAGAACCCUAUGAUAUUGUCCAAAGGGAAGUAGAAAAUUAAAGGCUUAAUGUUCUUACUCUUUUUCUUUUUCCUUUUAUUUCUUUUUCCUUUUUUAUACUUUAUAUUUAGCAUCUAAGAAAGAAAAGAAAAGAAAAGAAAAAAGAACCCUUCAAAGUCAUAUGCUUAAGGUUACUUUCGUUUCUUUUGAGCUUAAGUUCUUAUACUUUUAUUAUGACUUUCGUAGUAAAAAGAACAUUGAAGAUUUGAAAAACAUUCAAACGAAAUCAUUAUCAAAUUAUGUAUUUGUUAUUAUCAAAAUUAGGUUUUCAGAAUUGAAUCGGUUGAACAGUUAGACUUUCAGUUUAUCGGUUUGACUAUGGUUUGAUUAAAUAAAUUAUUAAAAAAAUGAGUAAAUUACAUUAGUAAUCAUCUAACUAGUUUUGGUCACCUCAACUAUAGAAAGUUACAAAAUGAUCACUCAAUUAUUAGUAAUUUUUCUGGGGACACUCAACUUUAAAAAGUUACAAAAUGGUCACUCAACUUGUCUUUUUUGGUUACCCAUUUAUCUUUGAUUUUUGGAUGUUUCCAUUUUUACAUUAGUCGGUUAGUGAUAAAAAAAGACAAAAUUGAACAGUUAGAUGACUAUUUUACAACUUUUCAUAAUUUGAUAAUCAAAAUAGAAAAAAAUAAACCAUGAAUGACCUCUACUGUAGUUUGCUUUUAAAAAUGAAAGUAUUAAAAAAUUAAUUCAAUCGACUCGAAACAAAUUGUAAGUUAACCAAUCUGAUGCCAGACCAAUCCGAUUUAAUUCAAAGAUGAAUGGGAGUAAAAUCACCAAAUUUUAUAGGUAAGAGUUGGACCUAUUGACCUAAAUUCAACUCCAAAAAAAGAUGUAGAGGUUGGACUUGGACCUCUUCAAAGUGGAAAGGCAAAAGCUUUAGGUUUUCUAUGAAAGGAAAAAGGCUCCAAAAGCAUUUACAUUUGUCAUUGCCAUUGCCAUUGCCCUUGCCUUUACCUUAAAAGAAAAAGAACCCCACAUUGGCUUUUCUUUUAAGACCAUGUGCCACCAUAAGUAAACUCUUUUUUCUUUUUUUUUCAUUUCUCAGCUAACCCCUAACGUUUCCAAUUUAUUUUUUUUUUGUGUGUGUCACUGUGUUGUUCUUUUUGGCUUUUUUCUAUUCCAUUUUGCUUUUGUUUUUAUAAAAAAAAAUGGCUCUUUUUGGAUGUUUGUCGUCAGCCUCGUAAAUCUCUUUUCUAUAAACAUAUAAUAAUCCGUCAGUCAAACUACCUCUGCCAUUUUAAAAGCCUUUUCUUUCUUUCUCCUGCUCCACGCGCUCCUCUUAUUGCCUUUCUUUAAUGAGAUAAAAUAAUAUUUAGUCUCUGAAUUUAAUAAAUUUUUUCAAUUUGAUCCUUAAAAUUUUUUUAGUUCAUAUUAGUUUUAAAUUUUUUUAUGUAUUUAGUUACCCAAUUUGGAUUCUAUUAAGGUAUGAUAACAUAACAUUAUAAGAUUGUUCCAUAUCGAGAUUGUGUCACAUAAUUGCUUUAAUAUCUUUUAAAAAUUGUAUAAAAUCCAAAAAUAAAAAAAAAUUCUUAAAAGAAAUUUAGGUGAUGAUGGGGCUAACUUAAAAAAUAAUGAAAUAUAAUUGGGUCUGAUAAUUUAUUUAUUAUUUAUUAUUAUAAAUAAUUUAAAUAAAAUAAAAGAUUUUGUUAUUAUUUAAUAAUUCAAAUCUAAACAAAUCGAUGAAAAGGACAAUAGGAUUAGCCAAAGUUUGGUUUCCGACAUUGCCCCCAACAUUUUAAAACAUUUGAGUUGACUUCAAAGUCUCCCAAGAAAAAUUGACCCCCAACCCACAAUUUCUUCACGCAAUUUCAUUAUCAUCUUUGAAUUACACCUCUAAAUAAUUUAUUUUUUAGAAAAGUCAACAAUGUACAUAUAACUAAUGCAUAACCUAAUGUGAAAAGAACAAUUAAAAAAAGAGAGAGAAGACCAAGAUGUGGCUCAAUUAAUUUAUCAUCAUUGAUUUUUUUAAUUGUUUGUUAUUAUAAAUAGUGCACACGUAUAAAUAUAUAUUCGAGUAAUUAUAGCAUAGAAUGGAAUCAAUACAAGGUACAACAGACGAAGAAUCGAAAAUAAUUAUAACAAAACCUAUAUAUGGGAUAUAGAUAUCAGAAUUGUGCAUUGUGCGACUCAAACCAAAGUAUGGUCCAAAGCUUCUACCUUAGCCAACAGUGUCAAUACCUCAUUGGAAUUUAGUCCCUGUACAAGAUCAAAACUUGAAAUUUAAUUCUUUUACUUUUUAAAUUUCAAAUUUCAAAAUUCAGAUUUAGUUGUUAACACUGUUAAAUAGAAAUAGGACUAAAUUAUAAAACUAUGAAUAAGGGAAGGAUUGAUAGCAUAUUUUAUUUUUUUACGGAGUUAUAUAAAUAAAUAUUGGCGUGUAACGUAGAAACAAAAAGUAGUGUACGAAAAACAAAACCUGAUACUGGACAAACGGAAAAACUAAAAGGUAAACCCGUAAUUGAAAAGAUUGUUGGUACGUUUUGUUCUACGAUUUAAUGUUCCAACGAUGAAAACAUAAUAAUAUUAUUAAUAAAUAAAUAAUUCAAAUAAUCUUAUCAAUCAAAAGCUUUAAAAAUAUAUCUAUAAAAAAAUAGUCAUAUAAAUGGGGGGUGAUUUACCUAUAUGCCCCCCAAAAAGAAAUUAGACCAUUUAUGUUAUUUUUUAAAAAUUGUAUCGACAUACAGGACGUGUUUUCACCUUUUUUUUAAAUAAUCGUCGCGAUUCGUCUAAUUUUUGCGGCGGAGGAGGUUUUUUCUCAGAGACGAUAGAAUUAAUCCAUUGGCGUUUGGAGUUGGGAGUCGAAUCCUCGAGAGGAACAACAGCAACGAUCACAAUGGUGAAUGAAGGAACGGCAGGGAUUGAGACGGAGGGUAUGACAACAGCAAUCAGUUGAGGUAGCAAAGAGGAGGAAUUAAAAUCUUCUUCCUCUUCUUCUAACAACUCCUCGUCCUCUUUGUCGUUACUGUUGAGCAUGUCGUCGUUGCCGCAUAUAUCGAUACAUUUAUAAAAGAAAAAACAGCAUAUAUGAUCAAAAUUUUAAAAAAAAUCUUAUUUAAUAUUAAAUAAUUUGUCACCUACAAAUGUCGAGAAACGUAAAAUUGGUAGGGAGAAAAAUUAAAAUACCAAAUUGAAAAGAUUUAAGUAUGAAAUUGAAUAUUAAAUUAACCUUGGGUACAAAAGAGUGUAUUAAUCAAUUAUUUUUUCAAAUUUUGAUGAAGAAUUUGUAAACAAAGGAAUAGGUAAAGGGGGUAGGAAAGUACAAAAGAGAUAAAGAAAGGAAGUGAUGGAGACCAGUGCGCAUGUAUAUCCAGGAUUCCAUUUUUUUUUUUUUACUGAGGGAAAGUUUCUGAAUGGCAAAGCGAAAAAAAAGGCUGAGCCCCAAUGCCUGCAAUUCACUGUGUUUUUCUGAAUUUAUAAAUAAAAACUUGUUAUUUAUUUAUUUUGUGUAGCGUAAGCCUAUGAUAAAUAUGAUCCUUUUUUAUUUACGGACUAAAAUUUUGCAUCAUUUGCAAAAAGAUUUUGUCUUUCAUUUCACUCGCAAGCUCCAUUCACGUGCUCUACCUUUUCCAUCUCUCUCUCUCUCUAUCACGCAACCUAUACUCAACCAUUCCCUCUGUAAAUUUGCAAUUUUAGAAAAAGGGUAACUACAAAUAAAUUUUAGUCCUUCAAUCUUGGUUUUUUUAUUUUUAUUUUGGUAUCUAAAUUUGAUAAUUAGGUUUAUUUUAGUUUAUGAACUAGGAAAAUGUUAAAAUUCGAUUUCUUUUAAAAGAAUAUCUCAAGAUUUUGAUUGUUAGAAAUUAGACUGGAUCGAUCAAUCAAAUUUAUUAAAUUGGGGAUCGAGCAUUAUAUUAGCCCGGAAAAAGAGUUUAAUUGAAUCGAGCUAAAAAAAAUAGUUUUUCUCUAUUUUAAAAUAAUUUUGCUUUUAUGAAAAUUUUAAGAAUCUAUUUAAUUAAAACUUGGUUUAAGGACUAUGCAAAUGGGCUAAUUAUUAAGUUUAGGGAGUCAAAGUUAUAUUAACCAAAAAAACCUCAUCAGUGUUGAAAAAGCAAAGGCUGCAAAGCUAAUAAGCUAAUAUCCCUAUCUCUCUCUUUCUAAUACGAAUCUCUUUGUAAAAAGUGGUAUCAAAAGCUUACCUCACUCUCCCCUGAAACACCAUUUUCAAUUCCUGUCAUUGAAACCCCAUCAAAGGCAGUGCAAUGCCCCUCUCUCUCUCUCUCUCUCUCUCUCGCUUUUUUAAAUGCUUUUAAUCCCUCCCCUAGCCUCCAAAUGAAACCCUAAAAGAACCCACCCUCGUUUCCUCUUUGGAUUCUCUGUCUUUUCUGUUUUCCCCCGUGUUCUAUUUUUUGAGUUUUACAGCCAUGGAAGCUCUGAAUUUUCUCAUGUUUUGGAAACCUAGUAACGGGGUUCAUAAAGUAAAUCAAACCCAACCAUGUGAUGGAAACGGCGCCGCCGCCACCGUCACCGUCACUGCCACCGUCGCGUCUGGGGUUGUUUCGGAUCAUGAGUUGGAUGAAGGGGAGGACUCUUUCAUCGACUUGGAGUUUCCUCUACGUGAUUUUAAUGGCAAUGGUGGAGCUCGCCGUGAACUGACCAACAAUUUUGUUGGUAACAAAGAUCUUAGUUUGUCUCCCGCCGAUCACUUCUCGAAGAGAAAGAUUAUGCCUAUCGAGCCAAUCUCCAAGCCACAAUCGCCCAUUGCUCUGCUAAAAUCAGCUCAGAGAUUUCGAGUCUUUACUCCCAAGAAAUCCAAAUCAAUGGCGAAUACCGGUAACAAUACACGCCUGCCGGAGAAAACCAAGCUCGUAGGUGUUUCAAUGGAGACCCCAAAGCAUGGAAACCAUAAUAGCAGAGAGCAUUUCACUAGAGAAAACAGUUUCCGAAGAACAAAAGGCAAAAUAGAAGAUGAUCCUUCGAAGAGAUUAUCAAAAGAUUUGGUACAUAAGUACUUGAAUGUAAUCAAACCAUUGUACACAAAAAUCUCCAAAAAGCACAGUCAAACCCACAAGUUCGAAGUGUCCGGCGACUUAUCAACGUUAUCUCCGGCAACUUCUCCGGCGACGGUAUAUUCUGUAAAGGAGAAACAGGGAAAUACUAAUAUUAAAGCGGGUUACAAGCAUCUGGGAAAAAGCCGAUCAGCCUCGGCUGCAGCGUCGCCGAUUAGCCGGAGAGAUGAUUCACUGCUGCUUCAACAUGAUGGGAUCCAAAGCGCCAUUUUAUAUUGCAAGAGAUCUUUCAAUUCAUCCAGAGGUAAUCAUUUUUCGGUUUUGCAGUUAAUUUUAAGCUUUGGGUUUAAUUCAGAAAUCAGAGUUUAAUGCUUAACUUUGUUUCUUCUUGGAUUUUCUGCAGAAUCUUCAUGGUUAUCGAGAUGCACAAGCGAUUGUUCUUCACAAGAGAAAUUAAGCAAUGCAUCUUCAACAGGUAUACAAGUUUUCCACACUGUUUAAAUUCGUUACUGCACUCUCUUUUAAGUGCUAAUUAAGCUUUAAAUUUAUUUCUUUUUUUCUCAGAGUCUUCUCUAUUUUCACGAGUUACAAGCAUUUCAUCAUACGAGAAACUAAUGGAUUCAGCAAGAACAUCAAGCGAAGAAGGCAAUGGCUUCACCACCUGAAAAAGUACUGUUAAUAGACUUUAAAAAAUUUCAUGAUCAUGAUGAUGUAAAAAUUGAAAAGGGGAAACAAAGGAAAAUUAAAAAAAAGAAAAGAAAAGAAAAAAAAAGAAAGGGGUAGUAAUUGUUUUUUGAUUGUUUAGUUUAUGAUGAGCGGUGAGUAGAGAGAGUAGUUUUCACUUUGUAAAGGUGAAGUUGUUUGUCAUUAUGAAGGAAUUGAAAGUUAACUCUUUUAUAUUUGGAUUCUUUUUGUUGUUGUGAGAAUUUGUGUUUGGUCUUAAAUUUCUGCAGUUCAAAGAUGUGAUAAUGAUUUUCUUGGAUUUGAAGGACUUAAAAUGACUUUCAACAUUUAUUUUUCAAUUUCCUCCACAAUUGGUAGUAUUUUUAGUGGGAAUUUGUUUUCUCCAAUCUUCUAUAAUGCUUUCAACAGUAAAAACUAUUCACAAUUUCACACCAUCCACAAGAGAAGGGAGUUGUUGAUUGGAUGUACUAAAUAAAUCAUUAAAAAUUUAGUUCAAACGGUAAAUAUAUAUAUAUUAAAAUUUCAGUUCAGGUGAUCUGCAUCAAUUCUCAUUCUUCAAGCUGAUAUGCCAACUCCUCUUUGUCGAUAACGAUCUCCUUUCUUGUCUCUCUUCGGUUAUCUCCUCUUCUUUCCACGCCAUUUUCUUGUUCCACUCAACACCUCUUCUGUAUCCAUACGAGGCUUAAAGGUUUUUCUUUCUCUUGCCUCAGCCUAUGCGAGAGGCUUUUUGAGUCAACAAGGACGUGUUCUUCCAAGUUCACGAUGACUUGUUUUUCUCGAGUUUGUAAUGACUCAAGUUCUCGAAUCCGAACCAACUUGUUUUGUUUGCGACUAAUCAGAUGGAUUCAAUGCAUUUUAAAACUUUGAAGGAUUUCUUGGAAUCCAAUAAAUACUAGUUCAUGUAUAAUUCAAAACUAGGGGGAAAAAAAGAGAGAAAAAAGCAGUGUGAAUUGAAACAAAUGCUCUGGCAACCCAUCCCUGCUAUAUGGGCAGAAGGUAAGUUGAAUGUUCCAUUCAACAUGCCACAGCCAUAAAUAUAUAUUCUCUGCACCAUUUAAUUUGAAGGAUUUAUGCCUAUAUCCACUGCAUCCCCCUUCAUAUUCCAUGCUCACAUACACUUGUUGGUAUGGUUCCUCUCCGAAAUAUGCCAUGGUACUCCUACACAAUGUUUACCCACAACUUGUUUGUCUAUAUAUUCCAAUCUAGUCUUUAUUGUAUUUGGUAUGUUUUAUGUAUAUGUGUAAUUAUUUUAUGUUCGAUUAAUUGUAUUGAAUGUUUUUAAAUAUAUUUCAAAUUUUUGUAAAAGUGUCGUAAAGGUUUUUGUAGUAAAAGUCAGAUUGCAUUUUGUUCACUCUGCUUAAAAAAUGAGUAAAUUAGUCUCUGUAUGUUAGAUUAAAGAACAAAUUGUUUAUUCUAUUUAAAAUUUCAUCCAUUUCUAUUGUUAAAAACUGGGGUUGCUGACCUGUUGCAUCGAGAUUGGGAUAUUGGUAUUAGGCAUGUGCAUCGAGAAUGCAAUAAGACGGUUGAUUGCUUAGCAAAUGCUGUAGAAGGAAUGGUUAUUGGCUUUUACUCUUGGUCUCAACCUCCCGAUUUUGCUUUGAAUGUGUCACAUGAAGAUGUUACUGGUUUUUCUUUUCCUAGAUUGAUUGCUAUGUAAUAACUUUUAUCCUCCUUAAUAAAUAAAUAAAAAUUAGGAUUGCUGAUAAAAUAACCAAACAAUUCCACGUGGCAUGCCACGUGUCUCAUUCUGACAUGCAAGGACCAGUUUGUUCUUUGACCUAAUGCGUUUAUUUUUUUAGUAAAGGGGACAAAAUAUAAUCCGGCUCUUAAUACAAAGAUCUCUAUGAUACUUUUACUUUCAAAUUUUAAAUUUCUCCCUAAGUUUACAAACUUUCUAAUUGUAUUAAUUAUGUCCUUUUUUUUCAAUUUAUAUUUGACAUGAAAUAUAUUUAAAACAUAUUUUUUUUAAAACAUAUUAAAUUUAAGUUAGCAAUACAAUAAGUCUACACAUGUUUAUAAUUUUAUCACGCAUCUCUUUUCGGAAGACGGUUGAGUCCCCCCGUCUUUUGUUAUGUUCUCAAGUCCCUGAACUUAUGAAGCCUCGUUUCUGUAGUGGGUCAAUUUGUUAACAUACCACCGAGCCAUUUUUUAUUAACAUAAUGACACCGAGCCCUUAUUGUAGCCCGCGCCACCGAAUCAACGGCUUUAUUUUUGGUAUCUUAAAAUAUGUUCAAUGUCUUAACACCUAAAUUAAUAACUAAACUAAAGUAAAAACUUACUUGACACGAUCAAAACAUUUUAAAUUUAACGAGUCCGAAUGCUAUUAACCCUUGGUAUUAUAUUGCAUUACAACUUAACUUAGCUUCGCAUUAUACGUAAUAUCAUAAGAAUCAGACCGACGACGGAAUUGAUAAACUGAAAUUCAUUCUUCGCCACCUAAUGAGCUUUGAAAUUUGAAUAAAGGGAGGGGGCGCCCAUCUAUAAUGAUGAAAUGGGAUUUGAUAGCAUUUGUCAACUUCAUCCAUACCCACAGGUCACCAACAUAAGAAGAGGACCGGACGAUAUCGGUUCACUUCUCCAACACAUUUUUUGUAAUCUAUUGUUACACACACAUCAUGUUUUUUUGUUUUUUUGUCCGACCAACAUUUAAAAGGAUAAAAAUAAUAACAUCAAAUGAAAAAGAAAAGAAAGGUGAACAGUAAGAGGCACUUGAUUUUCUAAAAAAGGGUUUCUACUUCUUCUUUUUUAUUUUACUGCCCACUUCAACUUUUCAGGUUUUCAUCAUGUAAUGGAUCUUUCUUCUGGAUUUUAUUUUUUAAAAAUAAAAUGUCAGUUUUUUCAAAGGAUUUCAAAAAAAAAAUUGAAAAUUUAUAUGACGUCAUGUUUUAAAUCUUUUAAUGUUUUUAUUAUAUGGGUGUGGAUGUCAUCCAGCUAUAAACAGGUGAUCAACAAUUUAAGUUGAGUAGUUAAUGUCACAGUUGAUAAAGUCUGAAAAUGAGGAUGAAAAUUUGAGCUCAUUAAAUGAGGACCGCACCAAGCCGGACAAUUCAUGGAAUAUUAGUAAAGGUUGGUUUGAAUCAUCGGGUUUUAUCCGGAAAAUACUCGAUACUUAAUAUUAUCAUUAAUGUAGGGAAAAUAAAAAAUUGAAUUGUUGAUACAAAUGGACAGUUUACGAGCUAUUGAAGUAAUCCAAAUUUCGAAAUUAAUACCUUUAAAGUUAACGAUAAUCAGACGCAUUCACCAUCCCUUAAAGAAUAUAAAAAAUGGGAAUUUGAAUACAUUACUAGAAAAGAAAAUGAUGAAGCGGAUCGAAUAAUUAAAACAACCUUUAAUAGGGAAGAAUGUUUGCAUGUGUUUACAUAUAAUCCCUUUAAUAUAGUUUAACUAGUUGUAUCUUUUCUUUUCUGUCACCAAUUAAAAAAAACUAAAAUGUAGAGUGUAAUCUUAAUAUCAUCCAUUUUUUAGAUUAUUUUAAAUUACAGGUAUAUUCUUAAAUUUUGAAUCGAUCUAUCUUUAAACUACACGUAUAAUAUAAGUUCAACAUGAUAGAAAAUUAUGUAUUUUCCAUAAUAGAAAACAGUGUCGCCUAUUCGACAUGCGACACCAACUCCAAAAUUACUCGAUUAUUACAAAAAUAAUGGUGAAUUUUUUUAAAAAGAAUAAUAAUAAAAAGUGUGUCGCGUGAUUUGAAAAAAAAAAGAGAAAUUUUUUUUGAAAAGAGUAAAAAAUGAAGAAAAAAAAAUGAUUGAAUGGGAUGUCGCAUUCAAGUAGAUGACACUAAACCUGUCCAUGGGCCGGGCAGCCCAGCCCGGCCCGAUGGCCCGUUCGAAAUAUAUGAGGGUUUGGGUAAAAAUAUAGGUCCGAAAUAUGGGCUUGGGCAAAAAACGAAGCCCGUUUAAAAAACGGGUCGGGCCUCGGGCACCACUUUUUUUUGCCCCAGCCCGGCCCGGCCCAAAUAUAAUAAAUAUAUAUUUUUUUAUUUUUUUUAUUUUUUUUAUUUUUAAAAUAAUUUUUUAAUGUUUAUUUUAAAAAUGGGCCGGGCCGGGCUCGAGCUUAUGAUAUUUUUCUCGGGCCGGGCCUGGGCAAAAUUUCAUAUCCAUAUUUCGGGCCGGGCCAAAAAAUUUUCCGGGCUCGGCCCGACCCGGCCCAGCCCGGCCCAUGGACAGGUCUAGAUGACACCCUCCUAAAAUAUAUUUCUUUAUUUUUUUGAAUGUUAUUUUUAAUAGUUGGAUGACACAGUUGGAUAAUGUAGAAACAUAUUAUUUUGAAAAAUAAUUUUAAUUUUUAUAUUAUUUUAAUAAAAAUCUUGAUAUAUCUAUUUUAUUUUAAUUAAUUUCGUCUUUAUUUCAAAAUAAGAUUUAAGUCUAAAAACUAUUUCAUUUAUAAAUUUAUUUUAACAUCAUAUAUUUCCUUAUUAAUAUUUAAAUUGUAAUUAAACCAAGAAUUAUCAUAAUUUUAUAAAAACUUAAACUAAAAAAAAUAUUAAAAGAAUUAAACUUGUUAAAAAAAUUACAAUAAGAACAAUUUAGUAAAAUGUAUUUUAAAUAAUCUUAUGAUUCCAUUAACUAAAUACCAAAAUUUUACAUUGCAAUUAAAUGAACCAAAUAAGGUAAUGUGUGGUACCCGACAUUAUACCGGUAAUAUUACAUAUUCAAUAAAUUGUAAAAUAUUAUAAUUAUAAUUUUGAUUAAUUUUGGUUUUUCAUGUUUUAUUGGGCGGAAGCAUUGUUGAGGAGAAGGUAAGAAAAUUACCAUUGUAGACAUGGGUUAGGCCCAUGUAGUUUACCCAAGGGCCAAUCAUCUCUUUUUUAUUUGGUUUCUACUUCUCUAAUUGUAUUAAUCUUUUGAAACUUCAAAAAAAAAUUUGGGAAAUAAGAAAAAAAAAAAAGAGCAUAAUGAUAAUUUUAGCUAAAUGUUUACAAUUUUUCCAAUUUAGCCCUUAUUCUUUUAAUUAAAUUUGGUCAUUAAUUAUUAAAAAAAAGAGUCAAAACAUUUUUUGAUCAUAAAUGUUAACUAAUAUAUUUAUUUUUUUAACUAUGUUGGAAUGGCAAUCGUAUGGUAGUCUACAUAUAUUUCAUUUUGAUAUGACAAUAUUUGUCUUAUAUGUAACGCCAAUAAAUAAUUUAAAAUACAUAAAAUAUAAAAAAAAAUCAAGAAAAAUAGCAUAAAAUACAUGUGGAUUGCCCAUGCAGGCGGCCAUGUUUAAAAAUUUAACAUUUUCGUCAAUAUUUCCGUUAAAAAAAAUCAAUUCGACUCAUUUUAAGAUGUUGAUGGUCAAAUUUGAUUUUUUUUUUAAAUAUUAAGGGCCAAAUUUAGCUAAAAAAUUUUAACAAAAUAUGUAAACGUUAAGAGCUAAAUUUAUCAUUAUCUUAAAAAUAAUAAUCAAUUAACGCUUCAAAAGUAGCUAAAUCUUAGUGCUGCUAGCAAAGGUCGAGGUUUGAGGAGUUUGAGCGGCUCUCAAUAUUUAAAAAUUAUGUGCCAAUUGUUUUAAACUUAAAAUAUUAAAUUUAAUGUUUGUAAUAAUUGGUUUUAAUUGUAACUGCCAAUUAAAAAAAUAAAAAAUAAAAAUAUGAAAGUUUAAUUUGUAUCUAUUUGGUUUUAAUUGAUUAAUACGAUUUGACUUUAACUACUUUUAUUUAUAGAACUAUUAAGGAACACAGUUGGAACAUAUACCAAACUUUAAUAAUCAUUACUAUAUUCAAAUUAAAAAAUAAUUUAAUAAUUAAAUAGGCUUAUAAUUAUACACAAUAGAUACAUCAGAUAUAAAUCGUUAAUAAAUUACGAUUUUCAGGUUAAUUACUCAACACUAGGGGUGAGUAUUCGAUCGAAUCGAAUCGAAUCGAAAAUUUUCGAGUUAAUCGAGUUUUCGAAUCUCAUUUUAUCAUCCUAACUUUAUUUGAAGUUUUCUCGAAUCGAGUCGAGUGAGAUGGAAUUCGACUCGAAUAACUCGAUUCGUUUAACUCGAAAUUCGAAUUUUUUUUCGAUUUUUUCGAGUCGAAUCGAGUUUUGCUCACCCCUACUCAACACACUUUGAAAAUCCACACCACAAUUAUUAAGCUUUUACAACUUGAGAAUUUCUAAAUUUCCUCUUUCCAAUCCACUCCACUUAACCUUAUCAAUAAUAUUUAAUCUUAUUGAUUAAGCUUAUCUUCAAAAGUAAAUAAUUAAUAUUCUUUUAAUAUAGUAAAAUUGAUAUAUUAAAUGUUACACAAUGGUCGUUGAAUCAUUCGAAAGUUUUCAUUUAAGUUACUAACUAUUUGAAAGUUUUUAUUUAAGUCACUAGGUUGUUAAGUGUUUUUUUUAAGGGCUAGCUAGUGAGCUCCAAGCGACGAUUUGAUGAUCAAUACCCAUCAAUGAGUAGAAGAACAUAUCUUAGAUCGAAGUUUGAUUUUGUGGCCAAUGUCGAAGAUUGGAGAAUAAAACUGUUUGGAUUUUGGUUUACAGUUUCAUGAUAUUCAAAGCUAUUUCAUGAAAAAAAAAACUAAACUAUAUAUAAAAGAGAAGGGGAAUGAGAGCUUUCGAUUACCGUAGCUAGGCCAUGCAAACAAAGAAGGCCAUAUAGAAGUGAUUUUAAUAGCGUAAUGACUUAAAUGUAGUUUAGUGACCAUUUUGUAACUUUUUAAAGUUAAGUGACUAAAACGUAAACUUACUAAUAAUUAGUGAUGUUAAGUGUAAUUUACCCAAAAUGAUUCAAUAUCCAUUAGUAAAAUAUACUUGCCUCAUAUUUAUUUCAAAAAAAAUUAAAACAUAUAUUUUCAUUAAUAUAUAUUCGAUACUUAAAUUUAAUUUUAAUAUUCAAUUUACUAGUCAUUGGACCACAUGAUGCGAUUUGAUUUAUAUACCAAAUCGUACGUUAGAAUUAAAUUCAAGUAUCAAAUAAUAUAUUAAUCCUAUAAAAACACACUCGAAGUACACUCAUAUAAUCAUAAGUCCCCAAUACAAAAAUCACAAGGCAAAAUCCAUAACAAAUGCAACUAAAAAUGAAAUAAAAAUUCCAAAAAAAAAAAAAUCAAAGUUCAUAAACAAGUUUGAUCACUUACAUAUAAUAUUUCCCAAGGUUCUAGAGUUGAUAUCAAUUUCCAUACUACAAUUCAUUUGGGCAUAUUUCUUCUUCUUUAUCACCUCCAUCAAAUGUAUCUUCCCUUUCAACUUUACUGAACUGGUCAAUGGCAGAACACCUGAACUAAUAUCACUUCCCAAUUCGUUAUCUCUUGUAUUCAAUGACAAACCAUUUGAUCUCAACUUGACUACAACAUCAACCUUUUUGGUUGACCUAGCCCCGACUCGACCCUUCUCGAUCAUGGCAUUACCAACCGGUAUGCCCUUAUAUGCAAAGGUGACGGUACCAUCUUUGUACUUGAAGUGACCGAAAUUCGUGUUCUUUACCAUGAAUUGGGUAUUCAUUCGCAAGUCGAAUGAAGGGGAAGCUUCAGUUCCAACAUUAAAAGUGUCGAUAAACGACCCCGAUCGAACCCGGAACUUUGGGUUUGUCAUACGCAUGAAGAUUAACACGAAAAGCAAUAUAAUCCCUGUUUGGAACACGGCAAAUAAUAUGAUAUACAACAGGCACUUCAUUUGCUUCUUUCUAUUUUGGUCUUUCGAGUGAGCCGUGAUAGACUCUUCGUCAUUACUUGGUGCCAAUGGAUUUGGGGAUUCAUCAUUGAUCUUCUCUGGAUUUGGGGUUUCAUCACUGAUCUUCUCUGCCAUUUUUUUUAAAAGCUGUGGAAAGGAAUUUCUAAAGGGGUAAGAAGGUGAAGAAUGAGUUAUGAGAAGAAAAAUGGAGCUUAUUAAUAAGUUUUUAUAGAUAAAAGAAGAUACGUAUAUUUGAUAGAUUUUGAAAGGGUUAAUAUACCAUUUAGUAUCUAUAUUUGGCUUUAAUGUUCAAUUUGGUACUCAAACUAAACAACAUCAUGUAGUUCAAUAAAUACUUGACAUUUGUUCUCCAGUAAAAAACAUACGUACUUAAUUGGGACAAAGAAAAACUCACGUCCCAAUUUAAACAUUGAAAGGCAAACUCAAGUACAAAAUUGAAUAUUGAAAUCAAAUAUAAGUACCAAAUAGUAUAUUAACCCAUUUUGAAAUGUGUAAUCAGUACUAGGAACCAGGUUGUAUUUUCCUCCUUUACUAAAAAAAGAGAGCAAAUUAGUCUCUAUAUGUCAGAACAAAGAGUAAAUUGGUUAUUUUUGUUAAAAAAUUCAUUCAUUUCUACUGUUAAAAACUAGUGUAACUGACAGAAUAAUCAGACAAUUAUACGUGGAGUGUCAUGUGUACCUCAUGUUUACGUAUAGAGACCAAUUUUUACCAUUAUAAAUAUAUAAAAAUUUUAAUUUUUUAAUCUAACAUACAAUGACAAAUUUACCUAUUUUUAAGUAGAGGAAACAAAAUACAAUAUGACUAUUACUACAAGGGCUUUCAUGGCAAAUACUUGGACUUUGAAAAAGCAGAAGGAACAACAAGUCAAGUUCUUCUAGUGGUAUUAUCAAUCAUGUUUUGUUGACAAUGAAACGCGUUAGGCAAGUUGGAGGAUUUGAUGCCUUUUUAACUUCAUUGGUUAAUGUGGUUAUUGGAUGAGUACCUUACAAAAAAUUACCCAUUUUUCCUUACUGUUCGACUUUGAAUUGUAGCUGAAAUUUCUCUCAAAUUUGACUCAUGAUUUCAUGGAAUAAAGGUCAACAUCUCUACCAAAUCACCUCUACAUCUAGAAGAUUUAAAAUGCUAAGUACCGAUUUCUUUUCUUUUUUUGGUUUUUUCAAAUGAAAAUUAAAUUUAUGUAAGACGAGAAAUGUAUCGAUUAUAAGGAUUAAGGUUUAGUUUAAUAUUGCUUUUAAAAAGGUGUUUUUGGGUAAAAAAACACUUUUGAGCAAAAGUUAAAAUUUUCUACUUCUGUUUUUAUCUAAAAAAGUAUUAUUUUUUUUAUCUAAAAGCACUUUUAUCAGGGGCAAAGCCAGAACAAAUUUUAAGGGGUGUCAAAUAAAAUUUUAAUUUUUUAUAAUCUAUAUCUUUAUAAUUUGUGAAGGAUUAAAUCGAAUUUUUAUAAUUUUAGGGGAGGCCGAAGUGUAAUUUUACAUUUACUAAUUUAAAAUGUUUUAAAAAAUUUAAGAGCUUAAAUGGUAAUUUUACAUUUUAAGGGGGGUUAGGUCCCUUGCCAACCCCCCUAAAUCCGCCUCUGACUUUUUAAAAGCUCAAAAGUAUCUUAUUUAACAAUACUUUUAUCUCAAAAGUAGUUUUUGUUCCGAAAGUGCUUCUUAGAAGCAAUUCUAAAUUUGCCCCAGGUGAAACAAAAUUGAUUGAAUGAUAGUGAAACAUAGGAGAAUUGAAAUAUUAUACAUUACGCUACCAUAGAUAAACUUGUUUUAUAAAAGAAAUAGCUUUUGGUAAUUUUUCAAUUGAGUUGAGACCCGAUUAAUUGGUGACAUUAUCUCAGAUGAAGGCAUAUUAUUAUAGUAAAGAUGUGAUAGUAUAUAGAAGGUUCAUGUUUUGGUUUACUCUUUUAGGCAAAAGAGAUUUCAACUUUCUGAAAAAGAUGAGAGAGCAAAAGUCGGUUCAAAUUAAUUAGAUCAAUCAAACGUUAAUUGAAGAGAUUAAGUAAUAAACAUAUGUCAAAUUGGUUCAUUUAAAAUUUAAAAUUCGAAAUUGAAUUAACUAAUUAUAAAUAUAUCCAUUAAAUUUAUAUAUUUUAAUAUAUUUAAACUCAAAUAUAUUGUCAAAUGCCAAAUCCAAAACAAACUCAAUGUUUUCCAUACCCAAAAUCAAAUAAAAAAUUAAACCCAAAUAGUAUUAUGCAAAUAAAAAUAUAAAUAGAAAAUAAAAUAAAAUUUUAAACAAAAUAGUAAAUACUAAUGUUAUAGUAUAGGCUGAUUUGGUUUGGAUUGUAAAUUUUUUUUAAAAAAAUUACUUGUCAAUACGGUCGGUUCAAUUUCGAGUAAAUAUAAUAUAGAGUCGAUUAAAUCAAUUAUUAGUAUUUUUUAAUCGGAUCAAACGAUUACUCAUUUCCUAAGCGAGGAAAGAGAUACAUGCUUUAAGAAUUGAAAUUUUUAACUUAUUACUAGUAUUUUCUUUUUAAGAACUGAGUUUUUAAAUCCUAUAACUAAAGUUCUAAAAGUGGCACAUCUUAUUUAGGAAAUAGUAAAAAAAAAUUAAAAUUAUGUAACGGUAUUAAUAAAUGUUCGAUGUAAUGGUAAGACACGUUGUAUUUCGAAGAAAAGAAUGCAUAUUCAAACAUUGAAGUAACAAUGAUGGGAGAAAUAACUACAAUCUUCGAAUAUAAACUAUAAAACGGACAUGAAGAAUAAGAAAAAUACAUAACAAUAUUUAAACAUUAUAAAAUUAAAAUAUUCCACCAAUUCUUUUAUGUUGCUUUUGUAUUUGGGGCCCAUUGUUAAAAAAGUCUGGUUAGAGAUCAUGGGCUUGGUGAGAUGCUUCAAUCCCUUCCUACAUAGGCUUUACUUAUGGUGGUCUAAUAUAUCCUCACUUCAUAUUGGUCUUCCAAUAGUACUAUCAUCCAUGUAUAAUUUUGGAUCGUGGGGACUAAUGCCGAUUCAUUAUUGACAAUUUAGGAAUAAAACACUAAUAAAAAAUCAAAAUUCAAGGCAAUUUGAAACGAAAUAUAUCAAAUUUGAUAGCAAAUUCAACGAUAACAGUAUCAUUAAGAGUUAAAUUAUAUUUUGUUUUUAAAAAAAUAUAUUUUUAAGCUAAUUUUUGACUUGAGAAAAUAUUUUUUUUCUUAAAAUAAUAUUUUUUUAUUUAAAAAUAUUUUUGAGAAAUAUUUGUAAACUAACCCUUAAAGAGUGAUCGACUGUCAUGCGAGGACUUGUCGGACAUUUGUACUUGUCCAUGCGUCCAUCACAUGAAGACGAUUUGGUGGAAUGUUAGACUUGGCAACUAACACUACUUUCCCAUUGUUCUUCUUCAUUGGGGAACAUAGUAACAAUGACAACAUGUCUUUUAUGGUGUAUUGAUUUGGGACCAUGCCCUUUAUUGAUGGAAUCAUUUGACCCACUGCGCGAAAUAAAAUAAAAAAUCUAAAGUUAAUUUCAUCAUUUUAGUUAGGGGUGAGCCUUCGAUCGAAUCGAAUCGAAAAUUUUCGAGUUAAUCGAGUUUUCGAAUCUCAUUUUAUCAUCCUAACUUUAUUUGAAGUUUUAUCGAAUCGAGUCGAGUGAGAUGGAAUUCGAAUCGUAUAUAUUUGUUCGAGUUAAAUUUUAAAAAAUAAUUUUGAAUCCUUAUAACCACUGUCACCCAUCGUAAGAAAAUUUGUCCACCUUAAUCAAAUUUUUUAUUAACUUUCAUCACCUCAUAAUUUAUUUAUUAAUUUUUUAUAUACUGGUUAGCUUCUUUGCUCGCUUAGUUGUUUCAAUUAUCUUCAGAUUCUUGUCACUUGUAUUUUGGAAUUAAGAAAUAUAUUAAAUGUAAAAAUAUUAUUUUUUUAAUAAAAAUUAUUUUAAAAAUAAAAUGUGAAAUUGAUGCCAAUAUAAAAUUUUAACACGAAUAUUUUAUGGCAUAGUUAAUAAUUCAAUUUUAAUAUAAAUAUUCAAUAUGACUAAACAAUUCAAUAAUAUAAUAUGUAAAAUUUAAUUUAAUAAUAUAAAUAGUAGAUAUAAAUAAAAUUAUUACUAUUUAUGUUUAGUGAUUUUUUUUUGGAUAAUUUUGAUUUUUUAUUUGAGAGUAAAAGGUGUGAAGUAAAAGUUUAGGGAGAAAAUAAAAAAUUUUGGGGAAUAAAAGUUUGAGGGAAAGUAAAUAGGGGGAGUAAAAUUUUGGAGGGAAAAUAUUAAAAAAAAUUGGAGGGGGGAGGGUUUGGGGUAGAUGAGAGGUGGGAUGGGAAGGGAAUAAAAGUUUUAGGGAAAAAGUGGGAGGGAGUAAAAAUUUUGGGGAAAAAUAAAAGGUUUUGAGGGUUUUGGGGAGUAAAAUUUUGAGAAAAAGUAAAUGGGAGAGUAAAAUUUUGGUGGGAAAUGAAUUUUGGGUAGAUUGGAGGGUUGGGAGGGGAGGGGAGUAAAAGUUUUGGGGGAAAGUAGGAAGGAGUAAAAGUUUUGAGGUAAAAGUAAAAAGGUUUGAGAGUUUGGGGUAAAAAUGUAAAAUACUAUAGUUUGAUAUUCGAAUUAUUCGAGUUAUUCGAAUUCGAAAACCCAACUCGAUUCGAACUCGAAAUUUGAAAAAAAAUUCGAGUUGAUUCGAAUAACUCGAUUAACUCGAAUAACUCGAUUCGUUUAACUCGAAAUUCAAAAUUUUUUUCUAUUUUUUCGAAUCGUAUCGAAUUUUGCUCACCCCUAAUUUUAGUAAUUUAAAUUUAAAUUUUAUCCUUUUUUAAAGAUAAAAGUGUAGAUUUGUGUAUAUUUUCAGUGAUUAAAUAAUGAUUAUUUUAUUACGAGUAGAUAAAACGAAUGGUUGCUAUAUGUAACUGAUGUUUUUAUUUCACUAAAAAAAAGGAUGAUUUUAUUGAAUUUAAAAUCGGAUUUAAUUUUUCAAUUUUAAUUAUCAUAAAAUAAAAAAUUAAUCCAAAUAAAUGGUUAAAUAUUUAAGUUAAUAAAUUAUUUGAACUAAGGAUAUUAUUUAAUUAAUUAAUUAAAAAUACAAGCAUAAUAUAAUCACCACAACAACAACAAAGAUAAUAAAAAUAAUAAUUCGAACAACGUUUUCAGUUUGUCGAAUCAGCACAAUAGGGAUUAUAACGACCGAGUCGAACGCUCGUGUUUCACUUAUUGACCAUGGGUUUUACCUCACAACCUACGUGGUGGUUUGGCGAUUCAGUCCGAGUCAUUUUUGCUUCCAUGACUCGACAAGUUUGGCCAGCGCAAUGCGAGUGGAACCUCCCUCACUCGUCGCCACCCUCGCUGCAUGUUUCAUGGCUAAGGCUCGCUCCCUAACUGAGUCACCUUCUUUCGACCCCAUCAAUUCUUUGACUCGUUUCUCCACCUCAGUUGAACUCACGAACCCGGUUUCCGACUCCACCAUCGGCAACGCAAUCUUCAUUUCUUCUACCAUCAACACCCUGUUUAACCUUUGUUCAGCAUAAAGCGGCCACGCUAACAUUGGAACCCCUGCACACACCGAUUCUAGCACUGAGUUCCAGCCGCAGUGAGUCACAAACCCACCAACCGAGUCGUGAUUCAACACGGCUAAUUGGGGUGCCCAUGAUUUGACUACCAGUCCCUUCUCUUUGGUCCUCUCCAAGAACCCUGGAGGAAGCAAUGAUUUCAAAUCUGGGUCGACUUUUGUGUCAAUGUUCAAGCUUUGGUUCUCUAAUGGUGGGUUCCUCACAAUCCAUAAAAAUCUCUGCCCACUCCUCUCUAAUCCAACAGCUAUUUCCUUUAAUUGUUGCACUGAAAACGAUCCCAAGCUACCAAAACAAAGAAACACUACGCUUUUACUAGGUUGAGAGUCUAACCAUUUGAUGCACUGAGGAACACCAUCACCGUCCACGGUGGUGUUAACAAUGAGAGGUCCGAUGCAGUAAAGGGGAGGCGUGGGGUAGUCCGGCAAGCAGAGUCCAUCAUUAAUCUCUUUGAAGCUCUUUGGCUCGAGAUAUUCAAAAGUGUCCACAAUAAUCCCAGUUGAACGGGGCAAGUUGGUGGCGAUGUCUAAGAAAACGUCAUACAGCUUGUUGCCUUUGAACGUUGUCGGCGGCAUAUCUGCAGAUGGAAUCGGUGGAGCACCAGGGAUAUCAAGGAGAACGUUGAGAUGUUGGAAGCUUUGAGUGAAUUUGUUACAGAGGGUGGGCAAAUAAAGUAAGCAAGCAGCGGCACCGAGGGCGGUAGGGAGGAAAGAGUAAGCUGGAAGGUUGAGAUCGGAGGCCACUUCGAAUGCUGCGCUGGUGCAGAAGAAGUCGACGAUAAUGGCGUUGAGUGUGUAGUUAUUGGAGAUGGUGAGAAGGGUGCGACGGACAUCGGGGUUUCUGAGGCGGAUGACGUCGAAGAAAAGCGGAUCUAAGUCGGUUGAGGUUGGAAGGAGGUCGACGGUGGGGAGGUAGUGGAAGGUGAUGGAAGGAGGAACGGGGGAGGGGACGGUGGAGGAAGGUUGUGAAGGAAGGGUGGCGAUGAGGAUGUGGAUAGAAAGGGAAGGGUGUUGAGUGAGGAGGAGCUUGGCGAACUCUACCAUGGGUGCCAGGUGAGUAAGCAUAGAUGCUGGGUAAAUAACUAUGGCUUCCUCCAUUGGUGAU